rnacentral:rRNA from 1 species
AUAAGCCCACGGUACCGCAUGGUACUGAGGGAAAAGGAUUUAUUCGCUUUAGGAUGGACUCGCGUCCAAUUAGCUAGUUGGUGAGGUAACGGCCCACCAAGGCGACGAUUGGUAGCCGGACUGAGAGGUUGAACGGCCACAUUGGGACUGAGACACGGCCCAGACUCCUACGGGAGGCAGCAGUGGGGGAUAUUGCACAAUGGGGGAAACCCUGAUGCAGCGACGCCGCGUGGAGGAAGAAGGUUUUCGGAUUGUAAACUCCUGUCGUUAGGGACGAUAAUGACGGUACCUAACAAGAAAGCACCGGCUAACUACGUGCCAGCAGCCGCGGUAAAACGUAGGGUGCAAGCGUUGUCCGGAAUUACUGGGUGUAAAGGGAGCGCANGCGGGAAGACAAGUUGGAAGUGAAAACCAUGGGCUCAACCCAUGAAUUGCUUUCAAAACUGUUUUUCUUGAGUAGUGCAGAGGUAGAUGGAAUUCCCGGUGUA